AAAAAUUUAGUUAAUUUAUAACAUUAGUUUGUCAUACUAAAAUUAUUUUCUAUUAAAAAUUAAUUUUUA
rnacentral:tRNA from 1 species